GAACCAUGUCUUCUUCAAAUUCUGCCACCUCUAGGGCGUCUUCUUCCUCAAGGCGUUCGUAUGCUUCUAGCUUUAGGUCUCCGGUGAGAUACAGAGUUGGCCCGAUGGACUACCAUCCAGCUGUGCCUUGCUGGUGUAGGCAAAGGCCGAAGGCGGCCAUGUGGAUCUCCUGGAGUGACGACAAUCCAGGCAGGAGGUACUACACGUGCGCCAAGGCAAGGAUGGGGGGUGCGACUUCUACGCUUGGCACGAUGAUCCUAUUGAAGAUGAAUUCCUGAAACAACUAUUGAUCGAUCUGCGGGACAAGGUUCGUCUGCUUGAACGGAUGAAUGACGAGCUCCGUUCGGAAGCGAGGGCAGUCCAACAUUUUCAAGAAAGAAGUCAGGAGAUUGCAGAGCAAGUCCCAGCACGAAACCUUGCCAGACAGCACAGUGGGUACGUGCUGAAAGUUGCUGUGUGUGUUCUUGUGGUAGCACUUGUUUACAAGGUGUUCUGCAUGUAGAUGCAGAUCGGUUGGCCUUGUGAACUACCUAGAUCAAUUUGCAAAGAUUUAUCAAAAAUGUAUCCCUGCCUCAGUGAGGCUUAUGUUAUCGAAGCAUUUAAAGGUGAAAAAAUGCAAUUGUUUCCGUAAUGAAA